AUGUAUGUGGGACAGCAGCCCAGCAGCCAGUGUCAGACUGCACCGUGGAGCUACGUGUUGUUGGGUUUUUGAAGUAUAAGAAGGAUGAGCCAAAACGUCACGACCACCUACGAGACGGUCGGUGCAGCGUGGACCUGCUGAGGCCUGGACGCUACAAGACAUCUGAAGAAACAUCAAACGUGUGAAUGGAUUCUUCUGAUU